AGCGAACGCUGGCGGCAGGCCUAACACAUGCAAGUCGAACGAAGCCUUCGGGCUUAGUGGCGGACGGGUGAGUAACACGUGGGAACGUACCUUUUGGUUCGGAAUAACGCAGAGAAAUUUGCGCUAAUACCGAAUGAGCCCUUCGGGGGAAAGAUUUAUCGCCGAAAGAUCGGCCCGCGUUGGAUUAGGUAGUUGGUGUGGUAAAGGCGCACCAAGCCUACGAUCCAUAGCUGGUCUGAGAGGAUGAUCAGCCACACUGGGACUGAGACACGGCCCAGACUCCUACGGGAGGCAGCAGUGGGGAAUCUUGCGCAAUGGGCGAAAGCCUGACGCAGCCAUGCCGCGUGAAUGAUGAAGGUCUUAGGAUUGUAAAAUUCUUUUACCAGGGACGAUAAUGACGGUACCUACAGAAGAAGCCCCGGCUAACUUCGUGCCAGCAGCCGCGGUAAUAC
rnacentral:rRNA from 1 species